UGCCUAGGAAAUUUCUUUUGUUCUACAUUUGACAUGUGAAAUCUGGGUCUAAGUAUACUUUAAAGCCAGUGCCUAGAAACCUGCAAAGCACAAAUUAUUAGCCACAGAUUUCUCAACCAACAACUCUAUUAAAACUUGUAACAAGCGUUUGUCUUCCUCGUGCCAGAAAAUAACGAAACUUUUCCAAGCUCAAUUUCAAGACAGCAAAGUAAAGCAAUAUACACAAUCUUUAAUAAUGGUUAAUAUUCAAUGCUAGGUUACCAGAAAUAACUUAAUAUAACCUUGCUAUUCCAGAAGCCUUCUUAAAAUUAACACAAAUACAGUAAUGUUUUGCUAAAUUUAGUAAAAUUUGCUGAGUUAAGAGAAC
rnacentral:lncRNA from 1 species